rnacentral:rRNA from 1 species
UACAGAGGGUGCAAGCGUUGUUCGGAAUUAUUGGGCGUAAAGCGCGUGUAGGCGGCUUGCAAGUCGGGUGUGAAAGCCCUCAGCUCAACUGAGGAAGUGCGCCCGAAACUGCAGAGCUUGAGUACCGGAGAGGAUGGCGGAAUUCCCCAAGUAGAGGUGAAAUUCGUAGAUAUGGGGAGGAACACCGGUGGCGAAGGCGGCCACUCGUGGACGGAGU